rnacentral:rRNA from 1 species
GACGAACGCUGGCGGCGUGCUUAACACAUGCAAGUCGAGCGAGGCCCGCCUUUCGGGGUGGUGCCCUAGCGGCGAACGGGUGAGUAACACGUGGGCAACCUGCCCUCAGCUCUGGGAUAACUCCAAGAAAUUGGUGCUAAUACCGGAUAUGACCGCUGACCGCAUGGUCUGGUGGUGGAAAGAUUUAUCGGCUGAGGAUGGGCCCGCGGCCUAUCAGCUUGUUGGUGGGGCACGGCCCACCAAGGCGACGACGGGUAGCCGGCCUGAGAGGGUGACCGGCCACACUGGGACUGAGACACGGCCCAGACUCCUACGGGAGGCAGCAGUGGGGAAUAUUGCGCAAUGGGCGAAAGCCUGACGCAGCGACGCCGCGUGAGGGAUGACGGCCU